GGGUCAGUAGGUUGGUCGUGCCACCGGUACGUACUGGUCUCACUGAUUCCUCCUUCCUGAAGAACCGUAAUGCCAUUAAUUUGGUGUUGCGGGGAAACAGGACUGUUACUUUGAAGAAAUUAGAGUGUUUAAAGCAAGCUAACGCUUGGAUACAUUAGCAUGGAAUAAUGAAAUAGGACGAUCGAUCCUAUUUUGUUGGUUUCUAGGAUUGACGUA
rnacentral:rRNA from 1 species